rnacentral:rRNA from 1 species
GAUGAACGCUGGCGGCGUGCCUAAUACAUGCAAGUCGAGCGAACAGACGAGGAGCUUGCUCCUCUGACGUUAGCGGCGGACGGGUGAGUAACACGUGGAUAACCUACCUAUAAGACUGGGAUAACUUCGGGAAACCGGAGCUAAUACCGGAUAAUAUAUUGAACCGCAUGGUUCAAUAGUGAAAGACGGUUUUGCUGUCACUUAUAGAUGGAUCCGCGCCGCAUUAGCUAGUUGGUAAGGUAACGGCUUACCAAGGCAACGAUGCGUAGCGGACCUGAGAGGGUGAUCGGCCACACUGGAACUGAGACACGGUCCAGACUCCUACGGGAGGCAGCAGUAGGGAAUCUUCCGCAAAGGGCGAAAGCCUGACGGAGCAACGCCGCGUGAGUGAUGAAGGUCUUCGGAUCGUAAAACUCUGUUAUUAGGGAAGAACAAAUGUGUAAGUAACUAUGCACGUCUUGACGGUACCUAAUCAGAAAGCCACGGCUAACUACGUG